rnacentral:rRNA from 1 species
UACGGGGGGGGCAAGCGUUGUUCGGAAUUACUGGGCGUAAAGGGCUCGUAGGCGGCCAACUAAGUCAGACGCGAAAUCCCUCGGCUUAACCGGGGAACUGCGUCUGAUACUGGAUGGCUUGAGGUUGGGAGAGGGAUGCGGAAUUCCAGGUGCAGCGGUGAAAUGCGUAGAUAUCUGGAGGAACACCGGUGGCGAAGGCGGCAUCCUGGACCAAAUCUGACGCUGAGGAGCGAAAGCCAGGGGAGCAAACGGG